GCGUCUGUAGCUCAGUGGAUAGAGCAAUCGCCUCCUAAGCGAUAGGUCGAAGGUUCAACUCCUUUCAGAUGCGCCA
rnacentral:tRNA from 1 species